GCAACCAGUGUGUGGAGUUCUGGAUGUCCUUGUUUGCAGACAUCAGAGACAAUGGAUUUUUUGAUGGCGGGUUUCUGGACAAGGCUAUCCUUCAGUUUUGUUGCAUGGGACUGAUCCAGGAUGAACUGGAUGACACUGUCCAUGUUUGGAAUGCACACACCAUCAGACCAUC